rnacentral:rRNA from 1 species
AUUGAACGCUGGCGGCAGGCCUAACACAUGCAAGUCGAACGAGUGGCGGAAGGGUGAGCAAACUCUGGGAAACUGCCUGAUGGAGGGGGAUAACUAAUGGAAAAGGUCGCUAAUAACGCAUAACAACGGCUGCGCCCAGCUGGGAUUAGCUAGUAGGUGGGGUAACGGCUCACCGAGGCGACGAUCCCUAGCUGGUCUGAGAGGAGGACCGGCCACACUGGAACGGAGAGAGGGUCCAGACUCCUACGGGAGGCAGCAGUGGGGAAUAUUGCACAAUGGGCGCAAGGCGGAUGCAGCACUGCCGCGUGUAUGAAGAAGGCCUUCGGGUUGUAAAGUACUUUCAGCGAGGAGGCGUUACUCGAAGAAGAAGCACCGGCUAACUCCGUGCCAGCAGCCGCGGUAAUAC